AUGGUACUCGGACAUGGGCGCUGGCACAUGCAGUGGACAUGGAGGCAGGUCGAUGAAAAGGCACACGACUCGGUGACAAGGAGGAACAGCGGGUCCAGGGGUGGAGGUGACCAGCAGGAGGCGGUGCUGGAGAUGUUGUUGGUGGCCGGUGACGAUGCUGGGGCGGGGGAGGCCGCUUCCAGCGCGGACGAGGCGAGGAGUUUAGGCGCAGCUCCGGCAGGGGCGGAACUAGACGAACCCAGAGCUGAUGGGUCCAUUCUAGGUGGCGGCGCUACUUGUCUUGCGCUCGGGAGGACACGAGCAGGAGCGUGCUUGUUUUGA
rnacentral:rRNA from 1 species